UAUUCUUUGAGAUAUCACGAGGAAUCCAUCGAGAUUACUGAAAUCAUUGAGAAUCGCACGGCAAACGUUGCUAGAGUCAUGGAAAUACUUGCAAGAGUUGCGGUAAAAUCCGAACGGCCUCCCGGCAUCGACGACCUGCAACGUGGCUGAUCGACGAAGGUGGAAUGAGGGGCGACCGAGUGGCAGGAAAUUUAACUAAUUUGAGAUUUAAUUUAACAAGCAAUUGGACGAUUUGGACGUCUGCCAGGCCCCACCGCGCUAAGGAGCCUCGCGGGGCGAGUUAAAGAGAACGAACGAACGAACGAACGAACGAACGAAAGUACGGGUGGACGAACGACGAAACAGUUGCGGAGGGAGACCGAGGAAAAGUAAUUUCCAAGUUUACCGGAAAAUUUCAACCACUUGAACGGCCACCCCGAAGAAAGGAUCGGAGGUAUAAGGCAUCCAGCCGGCACGGAAUGUCCUAUAAGUGCACGUUGACCGGAUGACACGUACGAACGGAAGAAACGCGAGCUGAGACGAUUAAUCUUGACCGGAACAGCUGUGAGUCGACAAAGCACUGCCAGCUUCGCAGUCGUCUAAUUAAUUUUCCUCACACUCUGACUAUUGUUAUACACUCAUACAGUUCGUUACAAUCUUAAAGACGAUAAGUCGAUUUUUUUCCCACGUUCUUCUAACGCGGUCUGAGGACUUGCUCUGAUAUUUUCUAUAGUUUGCGUUACAGUGAAACAGCGGUGUA
rnacentral:lncRNA from 1 species